rnacentral:rRNA from 1 species
GUACACAGAAGGAGGUGAGGUCGGUCUAGGAGGUGGUUUCGAGGCAGGUCUCGCGUGCGCAUGUGUGCGACUUUGGUUCACUCGUCGCUCCUGGUUCAGGUACCUCCACAGCCGCACGAGGCCGCCGGACCUAGGGCGCUCCGACCGGUUCCGCGGCGUCGACGACGCGAGCCGGAGAGUCCGGUACUUCCCCGACCGGCGGCUGUAGGUGAGGAGGCCGCCCUCGCCGGCCUUUACGCGCGGACCCCGGCCAUCCACGCCCCCCUUCCGGCGGCGGGGGUAGGACCUCGAAGAGCUCCGGAUAAACGAGCUCUAGACCCCGUAGAGACGACGGCGGCUUAUAUUCCGCGACCGUCCGGUCCCUACGGAAGAUGAACUUGGUUCUGGAAGUUCUGUGCCAGCUGACGGCGUCCAAAGUAAGGAGGUUGGGUGGAGCACAAGUUAAGUUUGGUGAAGGGCGAGAGUCCACCACACCAACCGUGACGGAGGGAAAACCUUAUCAACGCGGGUUUGGUGGGUUCUUCUAGUAGUUCCUGUAGUUCCAACACUUAGUUCUUUGAGCGUUCUAACCGCUAGACGACCUGUUCCCCCUUCUGCCGAGUAGCGCCGCUGCCGCCGGCGCGUACGGACUAAGUUCGUCCCUUUAAGAAGUGUGAUCUUCUCCUAAGCAACCCGCGCUGUUCCUCUUCCUACUAUAGGACGUCAACGAGUAGGUCGGUACACGGUUCAGACGACAAUAGAGACAACAACCACUUCGUCCUUAACCCUUCUGUUGAGAACGAGUCUACCACAAGUGACUACGUUGUCAAGUCCUCGUAAAACUACAGUUUACAACCCACAGUCAAAGGUCAUCGAGGUUGUUCUACCUCGAGCGUCGGCUCUAGGAUUCCAGACAGGAUGGCCGGACCCUACCGAGGCGACUGUUCUACGACCUAAAAUUUUACGAAGUCAGCCUCGAGGCAGCUCGAGAAUGUAGGUUCUCCAUAGACUAACAAGAACUACUACACACGUUGUAGUGUCUACUUUGGACCUACCUGUACGAGCGAGGAGAUGUCAGUCGUCUAUGGCCCUCGUCUUAAUACCGCUGAAGGGCGUACCUGUGGUACGGAGUGUAGAAGUCUCGCAGCGUCGACAUGUGGCACUUAGGCGACUUCUCGCUCCUAACGACCUGGGACGACUUCCUUGUACGAAACGGUUCACUAGGGCCAUUACAGAUAGUUCUUGAAGUGGGCUAGCCCUUCGUCUAACGACUUUUUUAGUUACCUAGUGGAGACCGACGAUUCGAUCACCCUCCAAACGACCCUCUAUGUUCCUCGUGUUAAGUGACCUACUUGUAGUACCUUUUUCCUAAUGUUCUAUUACGACAAAAGAGGCGGGAUACGAACUCGAUAUUUAUGGAUGGCCAUGUGGAGUUCGCUACGAAACGUAUAACGUCAAACAAAGGUCUCCUGAUAUUCAAACUAGGUCGUGUGAACAAGGCGGAAACCUAACGGCUCCCAAAACAAGUUGGUGUUCUGUCCCGACUUUUUUCCUACCUUCUGUAACGAUCUCUUAUAAAACUAGUCGAGGAAAGUGCGAGUAAGAAGGUCCUUUAGUUCGAACCUAGGUUCUGCAUGAUGAACCACGUACCGAAUGAGGUACUAGAACGUUCCAGACAACGUCGCCUCCUGACAAAGGCAUAACUGCUACCGUGCUUGACACUGUAGGGCAAUUGUCACGCGGUAGACAGACAGUGGUACUUGUCAGAUGGACGGGAGUGUUCGAAGGCGUCAGAUUUUCUCAACGCGUGGAACAAUUAGGCUGGCAGUGAAGGUAGGUUGAGGUCAACGAGGGUUCUCCUAAAACGACACUUAAAUUUUUCAUAGGACCUCUUCAGUUUUGUCAACGCACAAGAACUAGAGUCAACGAAAUUCAGGUUUCUCAACGGGGUUACGUAACUACUGAAUAACGUGGAGGCAAUGGAUAGAUAGGUACCGAGGUAGGUCUCCGAAGGACUCAGCUAACCGUUCGAGGACGUAGACGUUCAUAACACGAAGUGACCCUUUACAAGAAAACUAUUCGAAGGACUCUUGCAAUGAUACAACCAGUUAAACGCCGUGGAAGAACAACUUUGUUUCACAUGACGUCCUAACCGCCCGUAACCAGCCGAUCGAUUGGAAGUCCCUAGUGAACUCAAGGUGUCACUCUUCUCCCUUCCCGUAUCUGAUCUUCUCAACUCCUUGUAGUUACCAGAGGUACCCGAUGAUUUUUAUUUUCCAGAUCUUUUACAAAGUUCGAUACUUCUUCGGACGUUUCGACUCAACUUAUUUUUUUGUGUAGAAUUAAGAAACUUGAAUCUUACCUCGAGGCGAUCAUCCUUAUUGGGAGGAGGACGCCUGCAUUUCCAUGAACUUCCGGAUUUCGGCGUGGUUCUGUAAUUCCAUGAAUUGGAAUCUUCCAUAACACCGCGGUCUCGAGGGUCGACCGAUGGUAAUAACGUCGUCGACGCAAGGAACGUGGAAUGGUUAACGUCCUCAAACUGGUACGAAGGAGGUGACCCCGUAAACCCUAGUGAGUCUGUAAAUGUGUACUUCCUCGACACACGCCAACUGACAUAACCUGUACUCAAAAUACCGUGACCACUACACCGUAAAGGUAGGGAUUUGAAGGAACUUAAACUACUAAAGGGUUCCAACGUACUGACCAGGCCUUAUCGUGUGCCUUUCAGUAAAGGUACGGAACUUUCUAAUUAGUAUUACCUAACAGGUUUUAACCAGUUUUAAGGAGGGGAGGGGGGUUGAUGAACACUUCAAUGGUAACUCGCAUGUGUCAAUAAUGGUAUAUACUCCGAACGGGGAAAAAGAAGCUCAAGUCUCUUCGAGGUUGACCUACAAACAUGUUGAUUACAGGUGAAGUUGCCGAAUGAAGUACUUGUCGUGUCUCCUCGGUAACAUCGGCAUUUGUAUUCACCACGACUCGUCAAGCAACGAUGACUCCUUUAUCCCAGCGAACAAAGAGAUGUUUCCAACGUCGAAUCAGCGACAUUAAAAUGACUGGUUUUAAAAUCAUCCAAAGAGGUCCGAGAGGGAACAGAGAGGAGUAACCUCUACUAUCUGGACGGAUUGUACUGUAGAGAAGGUCGUAGCCUUUGUGAAUUCAAGACGUGGUACGAGUGACUCAACAGGUAUGCGUUGACGGUCGAAAACGUGAGAGAUAGGAGUAACGUCAAAAAACUAAGUGAUUUUCAAGACCACUAGCUCUCUACAGGAUUUUAAUGACGUUGUAGUAAAGGCAACUUGAAAUCAUCGGAAAGUAGAGAGUUUCACAACUCUUAUAGUAUGACGAGUCUCGAGGUUAGAAAUGGUCAUACGCCAGACGGUAGGAGUAACCUUUGUGAAGUAUAAUAACCCACGGUGGGCCUCAACAGGUUUGUCAGUUCUUUAUCCUGUCGACGAAACCAUGGAUCACACGGCUAAGUCACUGUCUUAUAAAACGUCCCUCUCUACCGUUACGUUUGUGACUCCGGUGGACUUGUGUUGGAACCUCGUAGAGAUCAUCUUAGAGAUAGGGAACUUUGACGGUUUUAGACAGUUUUAGGGUGAGGUACUCUAAGGGAUAGGGUUUGGUAUAGGGAUAUUAAAAAUCCAAGUUUGGAUUUUUGUGGGGUGGAACUGGGUUUUAUAUCCCAUUUUUUAUGGGUGACUAGGUGCCCUCUGGUUUAAGGGGGUUCAAGAGUGGACGACGGGUUAGCUGGGGCGACAGCGGGGUCACUGAGGUACCUACGGUGAGCAGGGGACGCCGGGUAAGUUGAGGAGCAUCACGACUCAACAACGGUGGGCGUAACGGGUACCGCCGAGAGCUCAACCGGCACAGUCGUAGUUCACACCACGACGGGCGGCGGCCGCCCGCGCGCCCCGGUGGCGUCGAGAAUUCGGGGUGGACCCACGGUGGUUGUACGUCGGGUGGCCGGAAUGCUGUGUACUAUGGUCGUAGGGCAUAGACACCGCGCGUGUACCGUGAUUGCGGCCGCUCUCCGGGUAGAUUGGGGGUGCGUAGGGAGGGUAGGGAACAUCGGGGAGGAGGUGGACGAUAACUACAGUCGUUCGAGCCGUACCCGUUGCGAGACUCCGUAAGCUGGUUUACGGGCGUUCACGGUUAAAAAGUACUCGUACUACUCGCAGAGACACACGUAUCUGCUGUAGUUGAUGAACUACGGUUUAAGAGUUCAUGUUCUACAGCACCUCAACAAACCGUGAGACAAACUGUUCUUCCGCGUUUCCAGCCGGGUAAUGUGCCACCCAUUCCUACCCUGUAACCACUACCGUAUCCUGAUCCUCUUAUACUGCGAACUACUCCGGUACCCCUUACUAGUAUGGUCCCGGUUGAUAACCUUCCUGUAAUUCAUCCUUUUAGUAGUGUUACACUUCUGUGGGAGGACAGUCCUACUUGACAAAACCUAAUACAACACGUAAACAUACACACAACUUUUAAAGUUUCAAUACCGUAACAUUUUAUCUUCAAACUUAAAAGCACUACACUACUUUAACCUCAAUUUUACCCAAACUUAUACGCAGCUCUCUUCUAUUUACCUCCCUCCCCACCUAUAUCCCCGACGUCAAAAUUCUCUACAAACGUGACUACUUUAGAACCUGGAACAGUUUGGCCACCGAGAAAACGUCGAGUAUAGUUUACAGG